rnacentral:rRNA from 1 species
GGAAUAUUGGGCAAUGGAGGAAACUCUUACCCAGCAAUGCCGCGUUAGGGAUGGAGGUCCUAUGGAUUGUAAACCUCUUUGAUUAGGGACAAAGAAAGUGAUGGUACCUAAAGAACAAGCCCCGGCUAACUAUGUGCCAGCAGCCGCGGUAAUACAUAGGGGGCGAGCGUUGUCCGGAAUGACUGGGCGUAAAGGGCGUGUAGGCGGUUAGGUAAGUUAGAAGUGUAAUACCCAGGGCUUAACUCGGGUGCUGCUUCUAAUACUGCUUGACUUGAGUGUCGGAGAGGAUAGUGGAAUUCCCAGUGUAGCGGUGGAAUGCAUAGAUAUUGGGAGGAACACCAGAGGCGAAAGCGGCUAUCUGGACGACAACUGACGCUGAGGCACGAAAGCGUGGGGAGCAAACA